rnacentral:misc_RNA from 1 species
GUUAAAAUUGGUGUUACACAGCUCUUAGCCCGAGAUAUUACAAAGAAGAAAACCUAGUCCAAUACAACACCCAAACUCAGAACACAACAAGGCCUAAAACCCAUAAACAAAAUCCUAGACAAUUCGGGCAAACCUGACCAACAAAGCAGCACCAAUAGCCGUGUGUUGCAGCGCCCCCGAAAGAGGGUAUGAACCACAACAGGAAGCACAUGGAUGGGGACCUCUGCCAUAUGCAAGGCCAAAGGGCCUGAUGAGUUCACAAAGAGCUCACCCAUCCAGUUGUCCGCCAUCAAAAGUGCCAAAACUAGGCUAAGCAGACAGAAACGAAGAAGCUCCAAAGGCCAAGGUUGAAUCGCAGAACCAAACAACCAUCGUAGUCAACACAUGUGUCUGCAGAAGAUGAAGAUGGCAGAUUUCACAACAUUACAGGUGGACAUAAUCCGGUUAAAAACCCCAGAGAUAGCAUCAACCCUAGAAAUGCAUAACCUACUGCAACUGUUAGAAAACCAACAUAAGCCAAACCUUCCAACUCAGACCUCCCAGCAAAACCACCCUCUCUUUUAGCUCAUAAUUCGAAAACCUAUCCAACCACAACCAAAAAACCGUAUUUAUAUCCUACCUGGUGGUGGGGAGAUGAUGACCCACAACAGCCCAAAAGGGAGUUCCUCCCGCCCGAAAGGGGCAAGGGAAGCCUCGUUGAAGGCCGAGGAACGGAGACCUUGAGCUCCUAGAAGAAAACCAAAAGUGGAGAGAAUUCUCUCUCUAGACUAUUUAGAGAGAGAGACUAACAAUCAAAGUUAAUAAUGAUUGAAAUCUACUAAAUAAAUUAAAUUACUUGUUAUAAACAAGUAAAAGAUUGAAUCAAAAUGUUCUUCGAGGACCAACUUUAUUACUAAUUAUGAGCAGUUUUGCUUUCCCAUCAUUCAUCAUCCAGUACAAGAUUACAAAGUAAACUCGUCUGAUUCUCUUUCUUGUGUUAUACUGUACUAAUGAAGCAACGAAAUGCAACGGUUAUGACCAAGAUCAGUUCCCCCAAGGCGGAUAUUUUCUUGCAGCCAGUGAUGGCUUAUGGGACAACGGAGCUGCUUGUGGUCGGAAAUACCAGAUGCGGUGCAUCAGCGGCCCCAAAAGAGCAUGUAAGGGUGGAUCCAUAGUUGUAGAGGUGGUGGAUUUUUGUCGUGAUAAUCCAUGCCCAGCCACACUGAUGCUCUCCAACAAAGCCUUUGACGCUGUCUCAAGAAUCCCCACUGCCAAAAUCAAUGUCGAGUACAUACAGUAAUCAUCUUUAAACUAUGCUACUCAUCCAACAGAUUUCAGAAACACACACACACACACACAAAUAUAAAACCCAUAUAAAUAACACACGAUAAUUUAGUAUGGGAUGGACACGGUGAUUUAGAAUAAGAUUAAUAUUUUCUCUAAUGUUUUUCCAUUUAGUUUUUAAUACUUUUCAUAUGAAAUUCCUUCUAACUUAUAAAGCAUAAUAAGAAUUCCAUGAACUGAAACAAUUUUAAAAAUCAAACCCAACCAGAAAAAAUAUAUAUAUAUAAGAAAUAUUAAUAUUUCGUCUUAAUAAAAAUCACGUUUAGCAGAAUGGGAAUGCCUUGAAUGGGAAAUGACAAUUGAAUUUUCACGGAUAUGCAAGCAGUGCACCAAGCAUAAAUUUUCUUUUAGCUAACCUGGUUUUUUUAAAAGUAAUUAUAUUGCAUUUAAGAAAUCCCAUCCAUGUAAAAAUUACUCUCUUUUUGGCAUAAGGGAUAACAGUUCUCACAUGAGAACAAGCUUAUAACAGCCAAACCCUUGUAAAUAAGCAAGACAGCAAUCGCAGCUUGCAACCAAUAAGGAUUUCAAAUUGAUCGAAGACAAAAUCGAUCACUCCCAUUGGCGCAAAACUAAUUAACUCCUAAUCCCUAAAAAAAAGUGAAGCUAUAGAGUAACUUCAAAGCUAGAAGGAACUCAAAACUCGGACCUAAAAUUACUGGAAAGUUUAAAGAUUCAGACUUUGAAAAGAAGAUCCUUAUAAUAAAAGCUGAAACGGAGAACAUGACAACCAAUGAAUUUCAGUUAGAAGACAAACCCAAUUCGCGAAAGAGCUAAAAAUGCAAAACCCACUCAUCUAACAAUUAGUUGAUGGGAAGCUAUACAUGCAGCAUCAGUAUGAAGAAUGAACGAGUGUACAGUUAUACAAUGACCUGCGCAAAACGCCCUUUCCUUAUUUCCUUUCUCUUUGAUUCCCUCUCCCCACUGGCAUCUCGCUCUAGUACCUAGAAUGGCUCUGCAAACUAACAAA